GCUGGCGGCGUGCUUAACACAUGCAAGUCGAACGGAAAGGCCUCUUUCGGGGGGUACUCGAGUGGCGAACGGGUGAGUAACACGUGAGUAACCUGCCCUUGACUUUGGGAUAACUUCAGGAAACUGGGGCUAAUACCGGAUAGGAGCUCCUGCUGCAUGGUGGGGGUUGGAAAGUUUCGGCGGUUGGGGAUGGACUCGCGGCUUAUCAGCUUGUUGGUGGGGUAGUGGCUUACCAAGGCUUUGACGGGUAGCCGGCCUGAGAGGGUGACCGGCCACAUUGGGACUGAGAUACGGCCCAGACUCCUACGGGAGGCAGCAGUGGGGAAUAUUGCACAAUGGGUGGAAGCCUGAUGCAGCAACGCCGUGUGCGGGAUGACGGCCUUCGGGUUGUAAACCGCUUUCGCUCAUGACGAAGCUUUGUGUGACGGUAGUGGGUAAAGAAGCACCGGCUAACUACGUG
rnacentral:rRNA from 1 species